rnacentral:rRNA from 1 species
GGAAAUGGGGGCUUGCUAUACAUGCACGUCGAGCGAGCUUGCCUAGAUGAUUUUAGUGCUUGCACUAAAUGAAACUAGAUACAAGCGAGCGGCGGACGGGUGAGUAACACGUGGGUAACCUGCCCAAGAGACUGGGAUAACACCUGGAAACAGAUGCUAAUACCGGAUAACAACACUAGACGCAUGUCUAGAGUUUGAAAGAUGGUUCUGCUAUCACUCUUGGAUGGACCUGCGGUGCAUUAGCUAGUUGGUAAGGUAACGGCUUACCAAGGCAAUGAUGCAUAGCCGAGUUGAGAGACUGAUCGGCCACAUUGGGACUGAGACACGGCCCAAACUCCUACGGGAGGCAGCAGUAGGGAAUCUUCCACAAUGGACGAAAGUCUGAUGGAGCAACGCCGCGUGAGUGAAGAAGGGUUUCGGCUCGUAAAGCUCUGUUGGUAGUGAAGAAAGAUAGAGGUAGUAACUGGCCUUUAUUUGACGGUAAUUACUUAGAAAGUCACGGCUAACUACGUGCCAGCAGCCGCGGUAAUACGUAGGUGGCAAGCGUUGUCCGGAUUUAUUGGGCGUAAAGCGAGUGCAGGCGGUUCAAUAAGUCUGAUGUGAAAGCCUUCGGCUCAACCGGAGAAUUGCAUCAGAAACUGUUGAACUUGAGUGCAGAAGAGGAGAGUGGAACUCCAUGUGUAGCGGUGGAAUGCGUAGAUAUAUGGAAGAACACCAGUGGCGAAGGCGGCUCUCUGGUCUGCAACUGAC